rnacentral:rRNA from 1 species
UGGGGAAUAUUGCACAAUGGGCGCAAGCCUGAUGCAGCCAUGCCGCGUGUGUGAAGAAGGCCUUCGGGUUGUAAAGCACUUUCAGCGGGGAGGAAGGCGUUAAGGUUAAUAACCUUGGCGAUUGACGUUACCCGCAGAAGAAGCACCGGCUAACUCCGUGCCAGCAGCCGCGGUAAUACGGAGGGUGCAAGCGUUAAUCGGAAUUACUGGGCGUAAAGCGCACGCAGGCGGUCUGUCAAGUCGGAUGUGAAAUCCCCGGGCUCAACCUGGGAACUGCAUUCGAAACUGGCAGGCUAGAGUCUUGUAGAGGGGGGUAGAAUUCCAGGUGUAGCGGUGAAAUGCGUAGAGAUCUGGAGGAAUACCGGUAGCGAAGGCGGCCCCCUGGACAAAGACUGACGCUCAGGUGCGAAAGCGUGGGGAGCAAACAGG